ACAGAGGGGGCAAGCGUUGUUCGGAAUUACUGGGCGUAAAGGGCGCGUAGGCGGCCCGCUAAGUCGAACGUGAAAUCCCCGAGCUCAACUCGGGAACUGCGUCCGAUACUGGCGGGCUUGAAUCCGGGAGAGGGAUGCGGAAUUCCAGGUGUAGCGGUGAAAUGCGUAGAUAUCUGGAGGAACACCGGUGGCGAAGGCGGCAUCCUGGACCGGCAUUGACGCUGAGGCGCGAAAGCUAGGGGAGCAAACGGGA
rnacentral:rRNA from 1 species